rnacentral:rRNA from 1 species
CCUACGGGUGGCAGCAGUGAGGAAUAUUGGUCAAUGGCCGUAAGGCUGAACCAGCCAAGCCGCGUGAAGGAAGAAGGAUCUAUGGUUUGUAACCUUCUUUUAUAGGGGAAUAAAAGUAUCCAAGUGUGGAUAUUUGCAUGUACCCUAUGAAUAAGAAUCGGCUAACUCCGUGCCAGCAUCCGCGGUAAUACGGAGGAUGCGAGCGUUAUCCGGCUUUAAUGGGGUUAAAGGGUGCGUAGGUUGUAUUUUAAGUCAGCGGUGAAAGUUUGUGGCUCAACCAUGAAAUUGCCGGUGAAACUGGCAGACUUGAGUGUGUUAGAGGUAGGCGGAAUUCGUGGUGUAGCGGUGAAAUGCAUAGAUAUCACGAGGAACUACGAUGGCGAAGGCAGCUUUCUAGGCCAUAACUGACGCUGAAGCACGAAAGCGUGGGGAUCAAACAGGAUUAGAUACCCGUGUAGUC